rnacentral:rRNA from 2 species
AAAGCGCAUGUGCUGUGAGCUCGAUGAGUAGGGCGGGACACGUGGUAUCCUGUCUGAAUAUGGGGGGACCAUCCUCCAAGGCUAAAUACUCCUGACUGACCGAUAGUGAACCAGUACCGUGAGGGAAAGGCGAAAAGAACCCCGGCGAGGGGAGUGAAAAAGAACCUGAAACCGUGUACGUACAAGCAGUGGGAGCACAGGUUUACCUGUGUGACUGCGUACCUUUUGUAUAAUGGGUCAGCGACUUAUAUUCUGUAGCAAGGUUAACCGCAUAGGGGAGCCGGAGGGAAACCGAGUCUUAACCGGGCGUUAAGUUGCAGGGUAUAGACCCGAAACCCGGUGAUCUAGCCAUGGGCAGGUUGAAGGUUGGGUAACACUAACUGGAGGACCGAACCGACUAAUGUUGAAAAAUUAGCGGAUGACCUGUGGCUGGGGGUGAAAGGCCAAUCAAACCGGGAGAUAGCUGGUUCUCCCCGAAAGCUAUUUAGGUAGCGCCUCGUGAAUUCAUCUCCGGGGGUAGAGCACUGUUUCGGCUAGGGGGCCAUCCCGGCUUACCAACCCGAUGCAAACUGCGAAUACCGGAGAAUGUUAUCACGGGAGACACACGGCGGGUGCUAACGUCCGUCGUGAAGAGGGAAACAACCCAGACCGCCAGCUAAGGUCCCAAAGUCAUGGUUAAGUGGGAAACGAUGUGGGAAGGCCCAGACAGCCAGGAUGUUGGCUUAGAAGCAGCCAUCAUUUAAAGAAAGCGUAAUAGCUCACUGGUCGAGUCGGCCUGCGCGGAAGAUGUAACGGGGCUAAACCAUGCACCGAAGCUGCGGCAGCGACACUCAGGUGUUGUUGGGUAGGGGAGCGUUCUGUAAGCCUGUGAAGGUGUGCUGUGAGGCAUGCUGGAGGUAUCAGAAGUGCGAAUGCUGACAUAAGUAACGAUAAAGCGGGUGAAAAGCCCGCUCGCCGGAAGACCAAGGGUUCCUGUCCAACGUUAAUCGGGGCAGGGUGAGUCGACCCCUAAGGCGAGGCCGAAAGGCGUAGUCGAUGGGAAACGGGUUAAUAUUCCCGUACUUGGUGUUACUGCGAAGGGGGGACGGAGAAGGCUAUGUUGGCCGGGCGACGGUUGUCCCGGUUUAAGCGUGUAGGUGUGUGUUCCAGGUAAAUCCGGUUCACUUUAACACUGAGGCGUGACGACGAGGCACUACGGUGCUGAAGCAACAAAUGCCCUGCUUCCAGGAAAAGCCUCUAAGCAUCAGGUAACAUCAAAUCGUACCCCAAACCGACACAGGUGGUCAGGUAGAGAAUACCAAGGCGCUUGAGAGAACUCGGGUGAAGGAACUAGGCAAAAUGGUGCCGUAACUUCGGGAGAAGGCACGCUGACACGUAGGUGAAGUGAUUUACUCAUGGAGCUGAAGUCAGUCGAAGAUACCAGCUGGCUGCAACUGUUUAUUAAAAACACAGCACUGUGCAAACACGAAAGUGGACGUAUACGGUGUGACGCCUGCCCGGUGCCGGAAGGUUAAUUGAUGGGGUCAGCGCAAGCGAAGCUCCUGAUCGAAGCCCCGGUAAACGGCGGCCGUAACUAUAACGGUCCUAAGGUAGCGAAAUUCCUUGUCGGGUAAGUUCCGACCUGCACGAAUGGCGUAAUGAUGGCCAGGCUGUCUCCACCCGAGACUCAGUGAAAUUGAACUCGCUGUGAAGAUGCAGUGUACCCGCGGCAAGACGGAAAGACCCCGUGAACCUUUACUAUAGCUUGACACUGAACAUUGAGCCUUGAUGUGUAGGAUAGGUGGGAGGCUUUGAAGUGUGGACGCCAGUCUGCAUGGAGCCGACCUUGAAAUACCACCCUUUAAUGUUUGAUGUUCUAACGUGGACCCGUAAUCCGGGUUGCGGACAGUGUCUGGUGGGUAGUUUGACUGGGGCGGUCUCCUCCUAAAGAGUAACGGAGGAGCACGAAGGUUGGCUAAUCCUGGUCGGACAUCAGGAGGUUAGUGCAAUGGCAUAAGCCAGCUUGACUGCGAGCGUGACGGCGCGAGCAGGUGCGAAAGCAGGUCAUAGUGAUCCGGUGGUUCUGAAUGGAAGGGCCAUCGCUCAACGGAUAAAAGGUACUCCGGGGAUAACAGGCUGAUACCGCCCAAGAGUUCAUAUCGACGGCGGUGUUUGGCACCUCGAUGUCGGCUCAUCACAUCCUGGGGCUGAAGUAGGUCCCAAGGGUAUGGCUGUUCGCCAUUUAAAGUGGUACGCGAGCUGGGUUUAGAACGUCGUGAGACAGUUCGGUCCCUAUCUGCCGUGGGCGCUGGAGAACUGAGGGGGGCUGCUCCUAGUACGAGAGGACCGGAGUGGACGCAUCACUGGUGUUCGGGUUGUCAUGCCAAUGGCACUGCCCGGUAGCUAAAUGCGGAAGAGAUAAGUGCUGAAAGCAUCUAAGCACGAAACUUGCCCCGAGAUGAGUUCUCCCUGAGACUUUAGGUCUCCUGAAGGAACGUUGAAGACGACGACGUUGAUAGGCCGGGUGUGUAAGCGCAGCGAUGCGUUGAGCUAACCGGUACUAAUGAACCGUGAGGCUUAACCUU